rnacentral:rRNA from 1 species
AUAUUGGACAAUGGGGGCAACCCUGAUCUAGCAAUGCCGCGUGUGUGAAGAAGGUCUUNGGCUUGNANAGUACCUUACGCUGGAANGAAGGGCUUUAGGCUAAUACCCUGAAGUUUUGACGUUACCAACAGAAUAAGCAUCGGCUAAUUCUGUGCCAGCAGCCGCGGUAAUACAGAGGGUGCAAGCGUUAAUCGGAAUUACUGCGCGUAAAGCGCGCGUAAGUGGUUCAGUAAGAUAAGUGUGAAAUCCCCGGGCUUAACCUGGGAACUGCUUUCAUAACUGCUAAGCUAGAGUACGGUAGAGGGUGGUGGAAUUUCCUGUGUAGCGGUGAAAUGCGUAGAUAUAGGAAGAAACACCAGUGGCGAAGGUGACUACCUGGACUGAUACUGACACUGAGGUGCGAAAGCGUGGGGAGCAAACA